GCAGUAGCCGCGGGAAUACGGAGGGUGCAAGCGUUAUCCGGAUUUAUUGGGUUUAAAGGGUCCGUAGGCGGAUCUGUAAGUCAGUGGUGAAAUCUCACAGCUUAACUGUGAAACUGCCAUUGAUACUGCAGGUCUUGAGUAAAUUUGAAGUGGCUGGAAUAAGUAGUGUAGCGGUGAAAUGCAUAGAUAUUACUUAGAACACCAAUUGCGAAGGCAGGUCACUAAGAUUUAACUGACGCUGAUGGACGAAAGCGUGGGGAGCGAACAGGAUUAGAUACCCGUGUAGUCCCUGUCUCUUAUAC
rnacentral:rRNA from 1 species